GGUAGAGAGAAUAUAGACAGUGUUAUGGGUCAGGUAGAGAGAAUAUAGACAGUGGGUCAGGCAGAGAGAAUAUAGACAGUGGGUCAGGUAGAGAGAAUAUAGACAGUGUUAUGGGUCAGGCAGAGAGAAUAUAGACAGUGGGUCAGGUAGAGAGAAUAUAGACAGUGUUAUGGGUCAGGUAGAGAGAAUAUAGACAGUGGGUCAGGCAGAGAGAAUAUAGACAGUGGGUCAGGUAGAGAGAAUAUAGACAGUGUUAUGGGUCAGGCAGAGAGAAUAUAGACAGUGGGUCAGGUAGAGAGAAUAUAGACAGUGUUAUGGGUCAGGUAGAGAGAAUAUAGACAGUGGGUCAG